rnacentral:misc_RNA from 1 species
CCAGAAAGUACCUCGGGCGAGAGCCCGCAAGUACCUCAACCCUUUCCGCGUACCAUUACCAUGUUGCCUUCCGCGUGGUCAACGGGGCGAGCGUUGGCUAUCAUUGCCCGCCUGCUCCUUUGCGGUGAGGUCGCACCAGUUUGCGGCCAAACCUCAAGCCCGCGGAGGGGCUUCAACCCAAACCCUUUGCUUCGAAAACGCUGUAGCCUGUCUGAGCUUGCAAAAUGGAAAGAAUAAAGUCA